rfam:Firmicutes bacterium CAG:129_59_24 Ley3_66761_scaffold_2297, whole genome shotgun sequence.
ACUUGUCUUCGAGGCGGGGUGAAACUCCCCACCGGCGGUUACAGUCCGCAAGCGGUAUUUUUUUAUCGCACGAACCGGUGAAAUUCCGGUACCGACGGUCACAGUCCGGAUGAGAGAAGAUGUGC